rnacentral:rRNA from 1 species
UACGUAGGGUGCGAGCGUUGUCCGGAAUUAUUGGGCGUAAAGCGUGCGUAGGCGGUUCGUUAAGUUCGUUGUGAAAGCCCCGGGCUCAACCUGGGAAUGGCAAUGGAAACUGGCGGGCUGGAGUAUGGCAGAGGGGGGUGGAAUUCCGCGUGUAGCAGUGAAAUGCGUAGAGAUGCGGAGGAACACCGAUGGCGAAGGCAGCCCCCUGGGCCAAUACUGACGCUCAGGCACGAAAGCGUGGGGAGCAAACAGG